rnacentral:rRNA from 1 species
AGGAUGAACGCUAGCGGCAGGCUUAACACAUGCAAGUCGAGGGGUAUAAAGGGCUUGCUCUUUAGAGACCGGCGCACGGGUGCGUAACGCGUAUGCAAUCUGCCUCUUACAGGGGAAUAGCCCGGAGAAAUCCGGAUUAAUGCCCCAUGGUAUUUUGGUUUGGCAUCGAACCAUUAUUAAAGAUUUAUCGGUAAGAGAUGAGCAUGCGUCCCAUUAGUUAGUUGGUAAGGUAACGGCUUACCAAGACUAUGAU